rnacentral:rRNA from 1 species
UACGUAGGGUGCGAGCGUUAAUCGGAAUUACUGGGCGUAAAGUGUGCGCAGGCGGCCGCGCAAGUCGAGUGUGAAAGCCCCGGGCUUAACUUGGGAAUUGCGCUCGAAACUACGUGGCUGGAGUGUGGCAGAGGAAGGUGGAAUUCCAGGUGUAGCGGUGAAAUGCGUAGAGAUCUGGAGGAACACCGAUGGCGAAGGCAGCCUUCUGGGCCAACACUGACGCUCAUGCACGAAAGGCCGUGGGGAGCAAACAGG